CCUACGGGUGGCUGCAGUGAGGAAUAUUGGUCAAUGGACGAGAGUCUGAACCAGCCAAGUAGCGUGAAGGACGACUGCCCUAUGGGUUGUAAACUUCUUUUAUAUGGGAAUAAAAUAUUCCACGUGUGGGAUUUUGUAUGUACCUUAUGAAUAAGCAUCGGCUAACUCCGUGCCAGCAGCCGCGGUAAUACGGAGGAUCCGAGCGUUAUCCGGAUUUAUUGGGUUUAAAGGGUUCGUAGGCGGUUUUUUAAGUCAGUUGGGAAAGUUUGGGGCUGAACCGUAAAAUUGCAAUUGAAACUGGAAGUCUUGAGUACAGUAGAGGUAGGCGGAAUAAGUGAUGUAGCGGUGAAAUGCUUAGAUAUAACGAAGAACUCCGAUUGCGAAGGCAGCUUACUAGACUGCAACUGACACUGAGGCUCGAGAGUGUGGGUAGCAAACAGGAUUAGAUACCCUUGUAGUC
rnacentral:rRNA from 1 species